CCUACGGGCGGCAGCAGUAGGGAAUCUUCCACAAUGGGCGAAAGCCUGAUGGAGCAACGCCGCGUGGGUGAAGACGGUCUUCGGAUCGGAAAACCCUGUUGUUAGAGAAGAAAGUGCGUGAGCGUAACUGUUCACGUUUCGACGGUGUCUAACCAGAAAGCCACGGCUAAGUACGUGCCAGCAGCCGCGGUAAUACGAAGGUGGCAAGCGUUAUCCGGAUUUAUUGGGCAUAAAGGGAACGCAGGCGGUCUUUUAAGUCCGAUGUGAAAGCCUAGGGCUUAACCGGAGUAGUGCAUUGGAAACUGGGAGACUUGAGUGCAAAAGAGGAGAGGGGAACUCGAUGUGUAGCGGUGAAAUGCGUAGAUAUAUGGAAGAACACCAGUGGCGAAAGCGGCUCUCUGGUUUGUAACUGACGCUGAGGUUCGAAAGCGUGGGUAGCAAACAGGAUUAGAUACCCGUGUAGUC
rnacentral:rRNA from 1 species